GCUUAUGAGUAGAAUUGAUUCUCCGUGUGCGCUGUGUGCGGAUAGCUUGCUAUGCGUGUGUGGCUGCGUGUGGAUUGAGUCGAGACGUAACUUAUUGCCGUUCGGGACGUUGACGAAAUGGAGCGAUUUGACCCGUCUUGAAACACGGACCAAGGAGUCUAACAUGUGUGCAAGUGUUAGGGUGUGGAAACCCCAGCGCGUAAUGAAAGUAAAGGAUAGCGUAAGUUAUCUGAGGUAGGAAAUGCUGCGGGUUCGUCCUGCGGCGUGGCACUAUCGACCGAUCAUGAACCCUUGUGGUGAAAGAUUUGAGUUUGAGCACAUAUGUUGGUACCCGAAAGAUGGUGAACUAUGCCUGAGUAGGGUGAAGCCAGGGGAAACUCUGGUGGAAGCUCGUAGCGAUUCUGACGUGCAAAUCGAUCGUCAAACUUGGGUAUAGGGGCGAAAGACUAAUCGAACCAUCUAGUAGCUGGUUCCCUCCGAAAUUUCCCUCAGGAUAGCAGCAACUUAUUUACGAUAGUUUUAUGAGGUAAAGCGAAUGAUUAGAGGAUUCGGGGAAGAAACUUUCUCGACCUAUUCUCAAACUUUAAAUCUGUAAGACCUGCAGGUUUCUUAAUU
rnacentral:rRNA from 1 species